GUUAAAAAGCUCGUAGUUGGAUUUCUGCGGGGGCGGGGCGGCCGGAUGCUUAUAGCAUCUCGAGCUAGCACUUCCCCCGCAUCCUGCCGCGAACCGUGCUACCAUUAGUUUGGUGGCGCUGGGGAUCGGCUCGUUUACUUUGAGAAAAAUAGAGUGUUCAAAGCAGGCCACACGCCUUGAAUAAGUUAGCAUGGAAUAAUGAUAAAGGACUUCGGUUCUAUUUUGUUGGUGUUCGGGACUGAAGUAAUGAUUGAUAGGGACAGUUGGGGCGGUCAGUAUUCCAAAGCGAGAGGUGAAAUUCUUAGACCUUCGGAAGACUAACAGCUGCGAAAGCGUUCCGCAAGGAUGUUCCCUUUGAUCAAGAACGAAAGUUGGGGGAUCGAAGACGAUCAGAUACCGUCGUAGUCUCAACUAUAAACUAUACCAGCUAGGGAUCGGCCGACGUUUAACUUAUAUCGACUCGGUCGGCACCUUAUGAGAAAUCAAGCAUCUGGGUCCCGGGGGGAGUAUGGUCGCAGGCUGAA
rnacentral:rRNA from 1 species